rnacentral:lncRNA from 1 species
AUGGGUUCAGCCCCGUUCCUGCCAGGGUCCCUGCUCUGCACCCGGCUGAUCCCGGCCCUGAGCCCGUCCUGGGCUGGGAGCAGGGUGUGGAGCGCGGCGGCCCCACAGCUCCGGCCCAGCAGGUUUUCCCUACGCCCCCGGGAAGCACCAGGGUGGAGAGGGGAAGAUGGAGCCCGCUCCUCCAUGGGAUGUUCCCCAUCAGGCAGGAAAGCCACGCAGCCCUCCAGGACACACACACGGGGAGGGGACAGCCUGGUGUCCCUCGGUGUCCCUAAAUCCAGCCAGGGUGGCCGGAGCGGGGUGCAGCCCCCAUUCUGGGCGCAGCGGUGCCCAGGUGGGAGCCGCAGGGAUGUGGGAGCUUGGCAGGGCCCUUCCCGGCGUGCCCCAAAUGCUGGGGGUGAGCGAGACCCAGCCCAGCUCCCCCGGCACCCCCGGACCCCCCCGGGGAUCCCUGCGGGCCCCUGGGGCCGUGCCACCACCCCUCGUCCUGUCCCAACUUGCCGGUGCCGGCAGCGUGUCUGGGAUUUCAAGGGCUCCCGAUUAAAUCUGGAGCCGCUCUCCUCCUCUUGGCAGAAGGGGAGCUGGGGGGGGAAUUGCUCCGUGGGUCGGGCCCCGUGGGAAGGGCUGGCAGAGCCACCGCUCCCCAAAAACCUCCCGGGGCGGUGGGGGCACCUGGCUAACUCAGCGGGGUUUCUGUGCCGCGGGGUGAGGCUGGGCCCCUGCCCCGCAGCCCCGAUCCCAUUGCUCCCAGCAUGGGAAGGGAAGGCAGCGAGGAUGCACCCCGCCAGGAUUUGGGGGCUGCGCCUCAAAGCCAGCCCCGGGGAUGGGCAGGGAGCGGGGGUGCUCUGGGAGGGGUCCCCAGGGAGGGGCUGGGCACCCACGGGCUCCCGGAGAAGCACCCAAAGGGGGGCCCUGGGGGUGGGAGAGCGGGGAGCACCCGGAGGCUUCACCCCCUGCAUCAGUGCAUGGGGUGGUGAGGGGCUCCUGCAGCCCCCCCCCAGUGCCCGUGUGGGUGCCGGGGGUCUGUGGGUGUCAGGCACCCAUGGGUGCCAGGGGGGAUGGUUUGGCACAGGGCGGGUGCCACGGUGCGGCUGA